UGGGGGAAAGAAGAGAAAAUGAGGCUCAGAAGAAAGCAGAGGGAGAAAAUAUGAAGGGAGUGAGGAGUUGGACUGAUGCAGGAUUUCACAGACAGAACGUGGGUAAGUCUUUUCAGGAAAUUACUUUCACACAGUACUAAAUGCCUGCCAGAUACCUGAAACCAUUUCCAGCAGCACAAUCCAAAGAAAGUCAACCAAUUACCAAAGUAAUUUCCAAAGAAAUCACUGCUGAGCCAGCUGUGAUCUGUAAUGUAGCAAUCUUUUAUUUGAGGGACGUUUCCAGGUAAUGAACAACAGCGGGCUGAAAUUAUAAGCAAUGGUUUGGAAACAGUGCCCCUCCAAAUUACUUAGCAACAUAAAAGGGUUACACUGUGAAAAGCACUUCAAUGGUACUGUUUUUUAAACUUGGUAUGAGAAAGUCGAUUUUUCAAAUAAAUUCAUUUUCUUUCAUUAAAUUUCUAUGAAAAUUUCACAAAAAACAAAAGUGGAUUUUUGUCACUCUUUUUAUACUUAUAAUUUAAUCUUCUAUCACAAAAUUGAUUCUGUUAAUUCUUAGGAAACUGAUUUCACCAAACUCUGCAGAAUAUGCCAAAGGUCAAACCCAGGGCUCCCUUCUGGCGACACAGGACUAGACAUGGUCUUGACAUGGUUCUACUUCCCACCUGAGCGUGACUGUACUUCACUUUCUGUUGAGAACCCACUGAGCAAUAAAGGUCUAGCUAUUAGACGUCUAGUUUUUUUUUUUUAGACUUAAUUUCAACCGUCUAGAUUCUGUAUAUUUUUGGACAGAAUUUAGACAUUUCACUUUAACCCAUUAUUCGAUAACUAUUUAUUUUAAAAAGCAACUGUGAGUUGCAUAACUGAUUUCCAAGUACUUAACAUAAAUAAAUAUGAUAGCCAUUGAGCAAUACACAGUGUAGUAUAUAUAUAGUCCAGAUUUAGACUUGGUCUAAAUGUAGACAUGUAAAAAACUUUCAUUUUUAGACCUGUGGCAGCCUGAUUUUAGACCAGUCGUUUAGGCUACAUUUAGACCUCUUUUAGUCAAAAAAAUGCUCAGUGGGAAAGGACUGCUCUAUUUUGCUUGAUGGCUCAAACAUUUAACUUAAUAAAGACAACAAGCAAAGAUGGAUACAUUUUUCUUUGUGGGCUCUUGUAAACAACAAAUACGUUAUCCUUCUCAAUUUAUAAGCCCCAAAUGUCAAAUUUCAAGCUACCAAUCUUUCAUGAACACUUGAUGAAGCCAUUCUUUUUUCUCACUGUCAAAGAUGAAAUUCAAUAAAAUCAUAAUAAGUCCAGUUUUGUGCUUCAUAUAUGAGCUUCAGGUAAUUGGUUCAACAUUAGUCAUGCCAAACAUUUUUAAAAAGCACACUCGUAUUUUUUAGUGCUCGUAUUUUUUCACAUCAAAACAGAGAAUGAACUCCAGUUCGUAAAUCCUACUUCUGCGACAUGAUCUGCUCCCGAGCGACCAGCCUGCUUUAAAUUAGGCCUCUCCAACCUUCAGUGGCCCGUCUGCUAAUUUGACUCCUAGAAUAACAGCAGCUUCUGUGUUUUCCAGGAGACUGGAACCAAACGUCCGUCUGGGGAGUCUGCAGUGGACACAGGUGCCAGCUCUCUCUUUCUUCCUGCAGGAUUUUGUUGAAUUAUGUGUUCAGGGGGGACUGUUUUACUGUUUAACCUAAAAAAAUCCCAAAUGUCUUGUUUUCAUCAAGUGUGUUUCCUGAAUCAAUAUGUGCUCUACAGCCUGUCUGUGAAUUUGACAGCAAAAUCAUAUAUUAAUGUUUUACUGAAAUAAAAACACUGACUUGCAUGAAGCUUGUGGUUGUCUGCUCUGCCUUUACUGAUUUAAUUUAAAAACCAAACUACGUGAGAAAAAAAUAUUCAUCUAACCGAGUACUUCCCUCACCGUGUUUAAAAAGGCACAAAAACAGAGACCCAGAGAAUCUAUACGUCGAGUGAUCACAGUCAAUGAUCAAGCUGAUUAAAGAAAGUCUAGUGGUAAUAAUUAUAAUAAUAACACAUUUUUUAAUAUGGCACUUUCAUGGCACUCAGAGACACUUUACAAUGAAGAAACCACAGUAGUAAAUACACAUUUCAAAGACAGAGUAAAAACAGAUUAAAAAGACGGGCCAAAAUACAGUUGCAUCAACAAUCAAAAGCAGAUUUGAACAGGUGGGUUCUUCUGAGGGAUUUGGACUUUGAUAUAUUAAUACAAUCCUGGAUGUGGUAACGGAGAGAGUUCCAGAGGGAGGGGGCAGCUAUGGGGAAAGCCCAAUUCCCCCCAAAGGUUUGGUGUCUGGUCUUCAGAGCAGAGAUGAGAAAGUUAGAGUCUGUAGAUUGGAGGGUGCAGGAAGGUAGGAAGGGGCCUGAUUAUGGAGGGCUUUAAAACUGAGGAGAGGGGUUUUAAACUGAGCGCGUUGGUGCACAGGAAGCCAGUGGAGGUUUUAGAGGACUGGCGUGACGGAUGUCGGUUAGGAAUGAAGUGAUUUACUGUAAUUUAUUGAUAAUUCUGGAGGGUGAAUCAUACAAGAAUGGUAAAAAUGGUUUUUGAGAAGCACUCAUUUAGACUCUGCUUAUCCAAGAUUUGUUGGCUUAAAGGUAAACAUACAUUACACUCACUGACAGCGGCGCAACCUGAUCCGAUUGAUAACAGCUGAGGGAGUUAAGGCAAGCUACAGAUAAGUGAUUUAACUGGACUUCUGUCCUCGUCCCAGUUUAUAAGCACUUGGCAAGAAUCAUUGUUUCCUUCCACUCUGCACUGUGUUGAUUCAAAGUUCAGGUGCUCUUUUGAUUAUGAGGGAAAGCCCCAGACAUUUUCACCUCCCAAACACGGAAACUCAUGCUUACCACCUCACUGAUGACUUAAUUCAGAAAAAGACAGCAUGAGCUGAAUAACUGUCUCAACUGUUUCUGACACUUGGAGUUUCUCUGUUUAUAAAAACUGUUCAUGAUGGCUCAGAACCACAAUCACCAAGUAACUUUAUGACAGCAACUUUUUGGAUUGGUUUGGUGACUACAAGCUGUGUAAAAAGUAACAACAACAAAUCUACCAACAUACCCGAGGAUUCCAAAACAACAACUCACAUUUUGUUAACCUUUUACAUUAAAAAAAAAAAACACCCUGAGAAGACUCAAACCAACAGGUCUGGCCAAAUACAUGAAAUAGUACAUGGUCUCCUGGAAACCCCUGCAGAAAGCCAUGUCUCUUUUAGACAGUUAUCUGGAAAGCAUGACCAAACUGUUAAAUUAGCUUUAGAGGUAGAAGGAUGAAGCUUUUUUAAACAGAGCCAGGCUGGCUGUUUUCUCCAUCUUAGAGUCUAAGAAAACAAAAAAGCUCAUUUUUGAGUAUUUUCUUAAACAUGGGAGGGAUGUCAAUCAUCUCAUUAAACUCUGUGCAGGACGGCAAAUUAUCAUGUUCCUUCAAAUGGAAAACUGCACCUUAGAUUUCAUUAGGAGAAAGCCUAAUGAAUUUACAACAGCUGCCAGCAUGAAAAACUGCAUCAAAAUGUUGCAUGAUACCUCCUCAAGUUCAAGAGGAUAGUUAUGUUGUUUAAACUGUUGGCACAAACAACCACAUGAUCAGACACCUGACGUUCCCAGUAUUUAGUCUCUUUGUUCGUGGUCAGAUUUACAUCAUACAUCAUUUAGCAGAAGAUUUUAAACACUUUAAGCAUUGACUUUUUAAAAUCUCCAUGAAGGAAAUAAAAGGAGGAUGACUUUCAGAGCACAGGCUGCAGGAAAAGAGAGUGUUCAUGUUUUGUCCACUUUCCCACCAAAGAAACCGACACAGUGUAGGUGUAAUCAUGAUCUAUUUGAUAUACUAUGAACCAUAAAAGCCUCCAUUGGAAUUCCCCACCAUUUCUGGUUUUCAUUUUCUUAACCCCAACCUCUCUGUACUCCACCCACACGCCAUCCCUGACCACCUCCUGCUUCAUUCCCCAUCACUCUGCAUUCACACGCAUCGGGUGCACACAUGCAUACAGUUGAUGUGGGUCUCUAAAACUGGGAUGCUAUGCUGAUUGGCUUCCUGGAAGAACUGCUAACACCCUAACCCCAAAUCAAAGCCGGGUCCCCUCCUGGAGGGCCCGACAGUCGGUGUAGAGCCGUAGCUGCCGCUGUUUGUUUGCACUGUGUCCUAAUUUCCGUGAAUUAUGACUUGACAGGAAGCGUGGAGGGGAGACGAGACAAUGGGCUAUUGUAAGACAGCACUUUAUGUCCAUGCAAGGUUAAAACAGGAAAACGCACCAAAAUGGGCACAUGCACAAACACAUACAGACCUCAGCGACAAUCCUGAUCCUCCCUCUUCUUCAUCAGGAUCACACUCUCAUUUACUGACUGCACAAUCUUGAUCUUUUCUUUGAGUUACCUUAAACCUAAAUCCCAAAU